CCUACGGGUGGCAGCAGUGAGGAAUAUUGGUCAAUGGGCGAGAGCCUGAACCAGCCAAGUCGCGUGAGGGAGUACUGCCCUAUGGGUUGUAAACCUCUUUUGUCGGGGAGCAAAAGCCGGACGUGUCCGGCUGUGAGAGUACCCGAAGAAAAAGCAUAGGCUAACUCCGUGCCAGCAGCCGCGGUAAUACGGGGGGUGCGAGCGUUAUCCGGAUUUAUUGGGGUUUAAGGGUGCUGAGGCGGAUUUUUAAGUCAGGGGAAAAAUCGUGGGGCUCAACCCCAUCCAGCCAUUGAAAAUGGGGAUCUAGGGUGUGCGAGAGGUAUGCGGAAUGCGUGGUGUAGCGGUGAAAUGCAUAGAUAUCACGCAGAACCCCGAUUGCGAAGGCAGCAUACCGGUGCACAACUGACGCUCGGGCACGAAAGCGUGGUAUCGAACAGGAUUAGAUACCCCUGUAGUC
rnacentral:rRNA from 1 species